UGAUGGGGACUGAGUGCCUCAGACAGGUGAGCAAAAUGCAGCCACUGUCCCAACUCCUCAUCCUCCUGGUGCUCUGGGUCUCAGGUGCCAGUGGGGACAUUGUGAUGACCCAGUCUCCAGCCUCCCUGGCUGUGUCUCCAGGAGAGACUGCCACCAUCAACUGCAAGUCAAGUCAGAGUGUUUUUCACACCUCCUACAAAACGAGCUACUUAAAUUGGUAUCAGAAGAAACCUGGUCAGCCUCCUAAACUGCUCAUCUACUAUGCAUCCACCCAGCAAUCUGGGGUCCCCGACCGAUUCAGUGGCAGUGGGUCUGGGACAGAUUUCACUCUCACCAUCAGCAGUUUCCAGCCUGAGGAUGUGGCAGGUUAUUACUGUCAGCAAAGUUACAGCUCUCCUCCCACAGUGUUUCAUACUCGAACACAAACCUCUUCCCCAGAGCUGUUGGUCAGUGAGUCCUGCUGCAGCAGCUGUUUCCUCCCUCACAGCCCUGAACAUGCACACUUCCUCUUCUGCCCAAAUGGCUGUCUCAGGAAUCAUUUCUCAGAGAGUUUCAAGAAGAGGGGAAAUUUAAGGGACCUGACAUUUUCUGGAUCUCUUUGUGGAAGAUUACUAAAGAAAAAUGCUGUAAAGUUAUUUUACAAACAUUGUUAGUCAUUUUCUGUAACACAAAACUCCAUGUUUCACAUGGACAGAUCACAUCUCUGAG